rnacentral:rRNA from 1 species
AUUGAACGCUGGCGGCAGGCCUAACACAUGCAAGUCGAGCGGAUGACGGGAGCUUGCUCCUGGAUUCAGCGGCGGACGGGUGAGUAAUGCCUAGGAAUCUGCCUGGUAGUGGGGGACAACGUUUCGAAAGGAACGCUAAUACCGCAUACGUCCUACGGGAGAAAGCAGGGGACCUUCGGGCCUUGCGCUAGCAGGUGAGCCUAGGUCGGAUUAGCUUGUUGGGGAGGUAAUGGCUCACCAAGGCGACGAUCCGUAACUGGUCUGAGAGGAUGAUCAGUCACACUGGAACUGAGACACGGUCCAGACUCCUACGGGAGGCAGCAGUGGGGAAUAUUGGACAAUGGGCGAAAGCCUGAUCCAGCCAUGCCGCGUGUGUGAAGAAGGUCUUCGGAUUGUAAAGCACUUUAAGUUGGGAGGAAGGGUUGUAGAUUAAUACUCUGCAAUUUUGACGUUACCGACAGAAUAAGCACCGGCUAACUCUGUGCCAGCAGCCGCGGUAACAC